rnacentral:lncRNA from 1 species
CUAGUAUAUAUAUUGGCAUAGUCAUACAUGUUCAAAUGAUAAAAUACUGACCAUGGCUUUAUAUGAUCGGAAAGGUCUUUCAAUUGCGGGUAGACAUGAAGUUUUUAUAUUCACAAUUAAAAAGAUAUUAACCAACAUUAUAUAAAUAGCUACACAACGAAGUGAGAUCUCUGUUUUCUUCUGCUGUAUUUUGUUGAUGUUGGUACUUGUUCGAUUAAUUUUCGUAUUUUAAACUGGAAAUUUCUACUUUCCAGGAUUAUCCAGUACCUUAACUAUAUAGACUACUCGAAACUUCACAGUAUUUAUUUUUAUCAAAUAUAUUUAUUUUUAACCGGCGGUAACCGGAACACACCUUAAUUACGAUUUAAACUUAACCCACAAACUAAUGAAAUAUUGUCACUCACCACUUCAAAACGUUGUAGUAUUCAAAGUUCUCGUCCGAUUUUCUUGUUUUGUACAUCAGUCGAUUUGUUUUGAAAAAUUGAAUAAUUCUGAAAGACCACAGACGAGAUUGAAAUAAACAAAGGGGUUUUCCGACAGGUAUUAGAGAUAACCUUUCGCAAUAAAAACCACGUGAUGAUAAGAAGUAUGUCUGGUCAGUUUAGGACGGCGGCAUCGCACAUGGUCACAAAGGGCUAUUAACGAUAACAUACUAAUUAGUCAGUUUCCAUAUCUUUUCUACAGAGCUCCCCGGGUUAUAAAUAAGUGCUAAUAAAUCGUUGUAGUUCCUGUCAAUAUAAUACUUCCAUGAUAUAUAUAACCA